rnacentral:misc_RNA from 1 species
UGCGGGGUGACGUCACGACGG